CUCUCGUUUCUGUCUGUAGGUUUCUCCAUAAAAACCCAGAGGACCCAGCUGAAGUUCCUGCUGGAUUCCUGCGUGACAUUAACCCAUGUUCCAUAACAGUGAUCGAAAGUGCCUUAGUAGACCGUUCUGUGGGCAAGGCCAAAGUGUUUGAUAGGUUUCAGUUUGAGAGAGUGGGUUAUUUUUCUGUUGACCCGGAUAGCACAUCUGAAAAGUUGGUGUUCAACAGAACCGUUACGCUCAAGGAGGACCCAGGAAAGAUAUGACUGGACUGCAAGACAGAAGCUGUACUUUCAGCUGCACAGCCUUAAUGCAUCACAACGCAGCUUUCAGUAAAAUCAAAUAAACCAGGGGAUUCAACGUAUUCUAUCAAUAUUGUGUAAAGCCUUUUUUUUAACUGUACAAGUGCUGGGCUGUUUUGUAUAACCUUUUCAGUCUGCUGGGGUUCGGCAUCUAUGAAAUAAACUAAUUAAAGAUUUUGACUUGAUGGCUUGUUGGAACAGUUGCUAACAUGUGAAA